rnacentral:rRNA from 1 species
UACGGAGGGUGCAAGCGUUGUCCGGAUUUAUUGGGUUUAAAGGGUGCGUAGGCGGAUCAGUAAGUCAGUGGUGAAAGCUUGCGGCUUAACCGUAGAACUGCCAUAGAUACUGCUGAUCUUGAGAACGGUCGAGGUGGUUGGAAUAUAUGGUGUAGCGGUGAAAUGCUUAGAUAUCAUAUAGAACACCUAUUGCGAAGGCAGAUCACUAGGCCGGGUCUGACGCUGAUGCACGAAAGUGUGGGGAGCGAACAGG